rnacentral:rRNA from 1 species
AUUGAACGCUGGCGGAAUGCUUUACACAUGCAAGUCGAACGGCAGCACGGACUUCGGUCUGGUGGCGAGUGGCGAACGGGUGAGUAAUGUAUCGGAACGUGCCCAGUCGUGGGGGAUAACGUAGUGAAAAUUACGCUAAUACCGCAUACGAUUUAUGGAUGAAAGCGGGGGAUCGCAAGACCUCGCGCGAUUGGAGCGGCCGAUAUCAGGUUAGGUAGUUGGUGGGGUAAAGGCCCACCAAGCCAACGAUCUGUAGCUGGUCUGAGAGGACGACCAGCCACACUGGAACUGAGACACGGUCCAGACUCCUACGGGAGGCAGCAGUGGGGAAUUUUGGACAAUGGGCGAAAGCCUGAUCCAGCCAUUCCGCGUGCAGGAUGAAGGCCCUCGGGUUGUAAACUGCUUUUGUACAGAACGAAAAGGUUUCUACUAAUACUAGGAGCUCAUGACGGUACUGUAAGAAUAAGCACCGGCUAACUACGUGCCAGCCGCCGCGGUAA